UACGUAGGGGACAAGCGUUGUCCGGAAUUAUUGGGCGUAAAGCGCGUGUAGGCGGCUUUGCAAGUCGGGUGUGAAAGCCCUCAGCUCAACUGAGGAAGUGCGCCCGAAACUGCAGAGCUUGAGUGUCGGAGAGGGUGGCGGAAUUCCCCAAGUAGAGGUGAAAUUCGUAGAUAUGGGGAGGAACACCGGUGGCGAAGGCGGCCACCUGGACGGUAACUGACGCUGAGACGCGAAAGCGUGGGGAGCAAACAGG
rnacentral:rRNA from 1 species